rnacentral:misc_RNA from 1 species
UCCGAGUUGACCCCGGCAGUCUUCUACGAGUCCCCGGCAUAAUCCGCUGGCAACAUAGAAUAAGGGUUGCGCUCGUUGCGGGACUUAACCCAACAUCUCACGACACGAGCUGACGACAGCCAUGCACUACCUGUGUGAGGCCCCGAAGGACACCGUAUCUCUACGGCUUUUCCCCACACGUCAAGCCCAGGUAAGGUUCUUCGCGUUGCCUCGAAUUAAACCACAUGUUCCACCGCUUGUGCGGGUCCCCGACAAUUUCUUUGAGUUUUAAUCUUGCGACCGUACUCCCCAGGCGGGGUGCUUAAUGCGUUAGCUGCGGCACGGAGAACGUGGAAGGUUCCCCACACCUAGCGCCCAACGUUUACGGCGUGGACUAC